CCCCGCCGCAUCACGUCGCCGUUGGGCAGCACGACCCCACCUCACCGACCCGCCCCACCUCACCGACCCGCCCCGCCGCCCCCCCGCAGCGCCGCGGUAACCCGGCAGGACGUCACUGCGCAUGCCCGGCCGCGCUGCCGCCCGCCAGCAGAGGGGAGGCCGCAGCAUCCCACUGACACCCUGCAGAUUCCUUUGCUGCCUGGGAUUCCUCAUCCCUUACUGACUUGACACUUCCCUUGCUGUUUCUGGGAUCACAGUUCGGCAUCCUUUUGCAUUUGAGGUUUUUUCCAUGUUCUGUGCUGGAACUGCUGUAAGAACAGCUGCAAGAAUACAGCCUACUGCUUCCGUCAGCGAGAGGAGGGGCAGCUCAUCAGGAGGCAAACACCACACCAAUCAAGUUAGGAAAUCUUUUCUUAGGAGAGCCAUGCCUCUGUUGCACACUUGGCCCACUAGUACUGCUGAGGGUGAUGCCACAGGAGAGGAAAUCAUAGCCUGGCCACUGCCCAACGCGGCCAGUGUGGGCUCUCAUGCAGUUCCACCUGCACAGCUGCAGAGGUGUGAGCUCAGCACUUCCCCAGGGCUGCUCUCAAGGCAUCCCAGGGCUUUGUGCCUCAGCCUGCUUACACGUUCAGGCUUUCUUCCUACAGGAGCCACAGGCCUGUGGGGAAGGGGUGCUUCUGAGACUCUCUGGUGCCAGUUUUGAUUCCUCUGUGCCGUGGCUGGUUUGUAAUCGUCACUGCCUGGGCAAAAGUGAACACUGCUGCCCUUGGCAGAGAUGGGAAUUGGCAGAUUGGAAAUCUCUUAUUUGCCAGAGUUGUUCCUUCAUAUCUCAUGUUUUCCAGAGCAGCAAAUACAGAUGCAAAUCUCCACGGGGCAAGCAGUGCUGCAUCCUUGUCUUAUUGUCACAGACCCAUCCAUUUUUAUCCCAUGCAUGUGAACCUUCCCCAUCUUCACUUUUGCAGUGAAGCCACAAGCUUGCACCUUUCCUGUAUCUUUCUCCUGUAUCUCAGUAAGUCAGAGACAAAAUUGGCUGUUCCUUUGAUUUGCUGAUCAGCAGCAUCUGAUGUGUCAGGCAAUAGUGCGAACUGCUCAGCAGGGAUCCUCGUAUCCUGUAUUUCAAGGCUCCACGUCCUGCAGUGCCAGACCUCCCUGCCUAUCUCAGCACAGCUCUGAAACACUGUUAGUAUAGAAGUGAACCUUGACUUGGGCAGUUUCUUUUCUGAUAUUUGCCCUCUUGUUAAGACAAGCAUGUAUGCUACCAGAAGCAGGUAUGAAAAAAGGAAUACAGCAGAUGGGAAAAAGGGCAACAGGAAUUCAAAGAGGAAGUGGUCAGUAUUUGCUCAUAACUUUUGCGUAACAGCUCUUCUCUUGGUUCCGUGAGUAGGGAAAACCUAUUACAGCAGCAAGGAAAGGGAAACAUUUCUUUCUGUUUCUGAGCAUGAGAACCAGACUCCUCACCGCUGAAAGCUGCCCAGCACGUUUAAUUCAGCGGUGUGCUCAGGCUGCAAUGGUUCAUUGCACCACGAGUAAAAUGCAGUGCAUGUAAUUACACAUUGCAAUCUGCUGAAGGGCCCUGUGUUAGCCAAGUCCCAUCUAGCUCCCACUUUCUACAAGACUUUGUUUUCUUUGCAAAAGGGUAAAUUCCACUGGUAUUUCACUUCCUAUUUUAAUUUUUAUUUUUGCAAAUUAGAAGUUUGGUGUUUGGAGGAUGUGAGUGGCUUCUGAAGAAUAUUUUGAUGAUGAGCAUGACCGCCAGCUGGGUAGAAGGGAGACGCCCUCCAGUGCCAGUGGUGGUGCCAUGCUCUGUGCCACACCAAGGAAGGGAUCAGAGGGCUGAGACCCACCAUAAACUGCCUCCAGCACAGUGACAGAGCUGCCUGCC